UCGUAGGAUUUCUGAUGAUCUGCCCUGAUGUCCCAACAUUCUUGGGGAAUUUACCUGGACCUUCAGCUAGUCUCUGCAUGAGAAUGGCUCUACCCUGGCACCCUAGUCACCUGGCAAUAUCUACAAUGGUCCCUCGAGCAAAGACUUGAACCACAGCUAAUCUGAGUCUUGGUAGAAUGCCUGUGAUCCUUCCAGAGCACAAAGGAUGGGAGGCCUGAGAGGAGCUGCUUCAAGAUCAUCUCCCACUUGCCUCCUUAUGUCCCUUGGCAAGUUUCAUGAGACAGAUUUUCAUAGCCUCCCACCUCCCAGGUUCUGAUGAGGUACAAGACUUCCUGAACCACUUCCCUCAGAAUAGAGCUACAGACUAUAAAGCCACUUAAGUGCAGUCUAUAAUUGGCUUCUUAGCAGUGAGGUAUCCCACAACUCACUUGGAAGUCUUCUGGUCCUUUUUGUUUCAGUGUCAUCCUUUUUGUUGUUUGGGACAAGGACCAUUUGGGGCUGGAAUCUUUGACUGCUUUUUCUUUCAC
rnacentral:lncRNA from 10 species